rnacentral:rRNA from 1 species
AUGAACGCUGGCGGCGUGCCUAAUACCUGCCAGUCGAGCGGACGGACGAGAAGCUUGCUUCUCUGAUGUUAGCGGCGGACGGGUGAGUAACACGUGGAUAACCUACCUAUAAGCCUGGGAUAACUUCGGGAAACCGGAGCUAAUACCGGAUAAUAUUUUGAACCGCAUGGUUCAAAAGUGAAAGACGGUCUUGCUGUCACUUAUAGAUGGAUCCGCGCUGCAUUAGCUAGUUGGUAAGGUAACGGCUUACCAAGGCAACGAUGCAUAGCCGACCUGAGAGGGUGAUCGGCCACACUGGAACUGAGACACGGUCCAGACUCCUACGGGAGGCAGCAGUAGGGAAUCUUCCGCAAUGGGCGAAAGCCUGACGGAGCAACGCCGCGUGAGUGAUGAAGGUCUUCGGAUCGUAAAACUCUGUUAUUAGGGAAGAACAUAUGUGUAAGUAACUGUGCACAUCUUGACGGUACCUAAUCAGAAAGCCACGGCUAACUACGUG